CCUACGGGUGGCAGCAGUAGGGAAUCUUUCACAAUGGGCGAAAGCCUGAUGCAGCAACGCCGCGUGAAGGAUGAAGGCCUUCGGGUUGUAAACUGCUUUUAUAAGCGAGAAAUAUGAUGGUAACUUAUGAAUAAGGAUCGGCUAACUACGUGCCAGCAGCCGCGGUCAUACGUAGGAUCCGAGCAUUAUCCGGAGUGUCUGGGUGUAAAGAGUUACGUAGGUGGCAUAAGAAAGAGCUAGUGGAAUCUGGUGGCUCAACCAUUCAGACUAUUAGCUAAACUGUUAAGCUCGAGAGCGUUAGGGGUAACUGGAAUUUCUAGUGUAGGAGUGAAAUCCGUAGAUAUUAGAAGGAACACCAAUAGCGAAGGCAGGUUACUGGGACGGUUCUGACACUGAGGCACGAAAGCGUAGGGAGCAAACGGGAUUAGAUACCCCAGUAGUC
rnacentral:rRNA from 1 species